AUCCAACUGACGAGUCUCAAAUAAGACGAAACGCGUUUCAAACUGGAU
rfam:Schistosoma curassoni strain Dakar, Senegal genome assembly, scaffold: SCTD_scaffold0018749